UUUAAAUAUAGUUGUGGAUUUCUGUGUCCAACAUUUAACUAUCUGUCUUAUUUAAAACUUUUAUGAUUAUUAUUUUUAUUAUUAUUAGAUAAUAAAACAUGAAUAGUAUUUUAUACUUGACUUAUUUUUUUUAAUUUUUUUAAAUAAAACGAAUAGUCAAAUGUUGAACAUAGAAAUCCUUAAA
rfam:Oryza meridionalis cultivar OR44 (W2112) chromosome 10, whole genome shotgun sequence.